GGGGUGUAUAGCUCAGUGGUAGACCAUUCGGCUACAGAUCGAGAGGUCCACGGUUCAAACCCGGGUGCCCCCA
rnacentral:tRNA from 1 species